rnacentral:rRNA from 1 species
GACGAACGCUGGCGGCGUGCUUAACACAUGCCAGUCGAACGGAAAGGCCCUGCUUUUGUGGGGUGCUCGAGUGGCGAACGGGUGAGUAACACGUGAGUAACCUGCCCUUGACUUUGGGAUAACUUCAGGAAACUGGGGCUAAUACCGGAUAGGAGCUCCUGCUGCAUGGUGGGGGUUGGAAAGUUUCGGCGGUUGGGGAUGGACUCGCGGCUUAUCAGCUUGUUGGUGGGGUAGUGGCUUACCAAGGCUUUGACGGGUAGCCGGCCUGAGAGGGUGACCGGCCACAUUGGGACUGGGAUACGGCCAGACUCCUACGGGAGGCAGCAGUGGGGAAUAUUGCACAAUGGGCGGAAGCCUGAUGCAGCAACGCCGCGUGCGGGAUGACGGCCUUCGGGUUGUAAACCGCUUUCGCCUGUGACGAAGCGUGAGUGACGGUAAUGGGUAAAGAAGCACCGGCUAACUACGUG